rnacentral:rRNA from 1 species
UUCCUACGGGACGCAGCAGUGGGGAAUAUUGCGCAAUGGGCGAAAGCCUGACGCAGCGACGCCGCGUGGGCGAAGAAGUAUUUCGGUAUGUAAAGCCCUAUCAGCAGGGAAGAAGAAAUGACGGUACCUGAGUAAGAAGCACCGGCUAAAUACGUGCCAGCAGCCGCGGUAAUACGUAUGGUGCAAGCGUUAUCCGGAUUUACUGGGUGUAAAGGGAGCGCAGGCGGCACGGCAAGCCUGAUGUGAAAGCCCGCGGCCCAACCGCGGGACUGCAUUGGGAACUACCGGGCUGGAGUGCCGGAGCG